CCUACGUGCGGCAGCAGUGAGGAAUAUUGGUCAAUGGGCGCGAGCCUGAACCAGCCAAGUAGCGUGAAGGAUGACUGCCCUACGGGUUGUAAACUUCUUUUAUAAAGGAAUAAAGUGAGGCACGUGUGCCUUUAUGUAUGUAUUUUAUGAAUAAGGAUCGGCUAACUCCGUGCCAGCAGCCGCGGUAAUACGGAGGAUACGAGCGUUAUCCGGAUUUAUUGGGUUUAAAGGGCGCGUAGAUGGGUUGUUAAGUCAGUUGUGAAAGUUUGCGGCUCAACCGUAAAAUUGCAAUUGAUACUGGCAGCCUUGAGUACAGGUGAGGUAGGCGGAAUUCGUGGUGUAGCGGUGAAAUGCUUAGAUAUCACGAAGAACUCCGAUUGCGAAGGCAGCCUACUAGACUGCCACUGACAUUGAGGCUCGAAAGUGUGGGUAGCAAACAGGAUUAGAUACCCUAGUAGUC
rnacentral:rRNA from 1 species